ACGACAAGUUUACAUUUGAUUAUAUUUUUUAUUGUUAAAAUAUCAGAAGUUUAAAAAAAAAAAAAGGAAACCUCUUAAGAAAAAUUGAAUUUGUUUUUCCAAAACGAAGAAAUUGAUUCUCAAAAGAGGUGAGAAUUUGAAAACUACCAUUUAAUUAAAAACAUUGAUCAUUUAUUAUUGAAAAUACAGAUCGAAUAAAAAAUAGGAGUCAUUUGAAAAAAUAUUUUUAUUCGACGGUAAUUUAUCAUCCUCCAUGGGAUUAUACGAAUGUGACGUUACCUUUCUAAUUAUAAACAAAAAUAAGUAUAAUAAGUACAUAUUUGAAAGAUGGAUAUACGAAAUAUGAAGGUAGUUUAAAUAGAGAGAAAGAGAAUGAGAGAUAGAGAAAGAGAGAGAGAGAAAGAGAGAGAGAGAGAAAGAAAGAGAGAGAGAGAGAGAGAGAGAGAGAGAAGGAGAAAAAGAGAAAGAAAGAGAAAAAACAAAAUAUAAAUUCGUUUUUGUUUCGAAUCUCUAUUAUCCUUUGACUCUACCAAAGCGAUAGGGGUCGACCUAUCAACAGCAGCACCAGAGUACCAACAAGAGAACUCUCUCUCUCAUUCUCUCUUUCUCUCUCAUUCUCUCUUUCUCUCUCAUUCUCUCUCUCUCUCUCUCUCUCUCUCUCUCUCUCUCUCUCUCUCUCUCUCUCUCUCUCUCUCUCUGUCUAUGUUGCUUUCGUCCUCCUCCGGCUUGAGAGUUCGACCGAAGGUCUCGCCGAGCAUUCGUUCGUUCGUCAGCCGUCUGCGAAGUCGUCUGACAGAAGCCACAACGCCGUUUCUCACCUUACCAGUCGCUCGCAUUUCAUCGAUCGCUGAGGAUCGAUCCUUUGGCUUAUAUACACAUAUAUCGACGUGUUUUCUUUUCUUUUUUUGUUUUUUCUUAAUCUUUAUCGACGUAUUGUAUUGUUCGAUAGAGAGAAGGUGCUUCGAGAGAGACCGGGUGAUUCAUAGUGAUUGAGAGUGCAUCGAAAGGAAAGGAGUGGGGGAUAUUCUAUACAUCUUUUUUUUGCGAUUCGAAUUUUUGAAUUAGAUCGUCAUUUUAUUCAAUCGAUUUUAUGGAUCAAGUUUAUCUAGUCGAUUUGAGGAAAAAGAGUAAAAGAAAGAAAAGAAAAGAAAUAAAAAAAGGAAAAAGAGAAGAUAUAAAAUGUACACCAUUAGCGACGGAAGCGAGUAUCGCCGAGGAGCAAUCGCAUUAAGUCGCUCUUUGAAGAGAAGCUUCUCUAAGAGCCAGGAAGCCGAAGGUCGACGGCCGUGUCGCAUUAUCCUCGGUAGGAUGCUUAAUAACAUUUUUCAUGUCCUUCCAACGUGGCCGCGGAGAAGAAGAGAAAGAAGACGAAGAAGAAGAAGAAGAAGGAGAAAUAGAAAAAGAAAAGGAAGAAGAAGAUUUGACAGAGAAAGAUAGAGGAAUAAGAAUAAUAAGAAUAAUAAUAAUAAUAAUAAAAAGAAGGAGAAGAAGAGCUUUCAACUUUCAUCAUUAAUACCAUCGGAACCAUAGGAUUUAACAAUUUAGUUCAACUUCCUAUGGUUGAUAAGCCAAGUGCAACGUGUCAAAAAUUAGAACGCGACGAGUUUCGUGAUUUACGCAAAAGAGUUUCGAUUCGAUACGAUACGUUGCCACACUUGACGGCCAUUUUCUUUUCUUCUUCUUUCUUCCUCUUUUUCUUCAUUUUUUUCUUUCUUUCUUUCUUUCUUUUUAAUCGCCGCCAUUACGAAUCGGGUUUGCCAGCGCGCGAGGUCAUCCUUAGCAGCAGCAAAUGUCGUCUUGGUACUUUGGAGGAGGAAUGAAAGAUUAACGUGAAUCAAAGUAGUAACGAGAAGAUCGUUGAUAUUUUAAUCUUCUUAACUUAGCAUAACUCAUGAGAGUUCUUGUUUGAGAAAAAACAGAUCGCUCGUACGAGAAAAGAAAAGAAGAUAAAAAACAAGAAUAUACGUUUACACGUGCGCGUACGCAUGCACGAACACAUAUAUACAUACAUACAUACACAUACACGUACACGUACACGUAUACAAAGACGAUUUUUACUUUAUACGAAUCUCUCUGUUCGUUGUGUAUGUGGAGAUCCAUGAGAAUCACUGUUGAGUGUACGUCUGCUGCCAUCUCUUCCAACGACGGACCCAUAGACUGGAGUGUAACUUAACCGCAAACUCGGUGAAUCACCCGAAGGACGGUCUCUCUCUCUCUCUCUCUCUCUCUCUCUCUCUCUCUCUCUUUCUUUCUUUCUCUCUCCCUUUCUCCAGGAUCCCUCUUCGAGAACUUCAGAAUAUCUCGUCUUAAUACUUACUCGAGGAGUUGCAAUAAACUCUUGGAUCUCUGAGACUAUCGAUCCUCUCUUUAGACUACUCAUCCUUGUCUUCUUUUUCUUAACGAGUUUAAAAAGAAACAGUUAAAGAAAAAAGCAAGAAAAAGGCAAAGAGAAAGAGAGAGAGAGAGAGAGAGAGAGAGAGAGAGAGAGAGAGAGAGAGAGAGAUAAGGAAAAACAAGGAAAGGAUCCUAGCGAUCCUGAUUGGAACUGUCUCGUAGGCUUGCCAAGUCGAUUAGAGUUACUCUAAGGAAUAAAACAAGUAUUCUUAUCGAGAUACACGAAGUACAUACGUAUGUAUAAAUGAUUUUUCAUUGUUAUCUAUUCCUUCUUAUCUUUUCGAAGGAUGGAUCACAAGUUUAGAGGGAACGUACAAAUGUGUAGAGAAAACUCGUUGCUGCUAACAACAGUUAAGAGAUAGAUAGAUAUAAGAAAAAUUAUAUUUUUCAAUUAAAUCAUUUUUAAGAAGGUAUAAGUUUUUAUUCGUGUGUUCGUAUAUAUAUAUAUAUUUAUGUGUGUUUGAUAUAUCUUCAAAAGCUCUUUCCAGACGAUUUAUUGUAUUCAUUAUCAUGGAAAAUCCAUUUUGUCCAUAUUCCAUCUACACCCACGUAGGUUUGCAUAUACUGACUCUUCGUACUUAACCUUAGAUCCUUUAUAAUUUUAUAUAUGUAUAGUGUGCGAGUGUAUGUGUCUGUGUAUGUGUGUAUGUGAGCGUUACAUGUACAAUGCCAAGACGAUGGAUAGUGGGUGUAGUAGUCAGAAUAUGAAGUUUAUUAAGCAUUCAACUCAUAAUGGGUUUAAUGAAUCGGACGAUCUCGUGUGUGUGUGUGUAUGUGUGAGAGAGAAAGGGGUGGGGAAAGAGAAAGAGAGAAAGGAAGAGAGAGAGAGAGAAAGAGAAGGAGAGAGAGAGGGGGAGAAAAUUUGCAAACAGGUAUGGACGUCAGCCGUCGUGCUUCACCGGCGAAAUCGCCCGAAGGAGUAUAUCUUAAGAAAAAGAAAUAGAAUUCGCGAAAGAAAUAGAAAAGAUGAGGUUCUAUUCUGCAAUACGUCGUUAUAAUUGUAGUGGAACAUGUUUCUUUUUUUUUCCGUUUUUCUUUCUUUUUUUUUCCUUCCAAGCGAGUAUAAUCGCUUAACAAUCUUUUCUGUGCUCGCAAUUAAUUGUCCAUUACACUUAUUAUUAUUAUUAUUAUUGUUGUUAUUGUUGUCAUUGUUGUUAUUAUUAUUUCUUUCUCUUUGAAUCCAAACAAAUAAGGAAUAGUUUGAAUCGUAUAAUUUAAAUGGAUCUAUUCAAAUUUCGAGCCAUAAGGACUAUUCGAUUUUACUUAUAUAUGUAUAUAUAAACACACACAUUUAAUAUAUAUCAAAUUAAUAUAUACGGGGGUGGAACCAAAGUUUCUAGGUGAUUUUAAAAAUCGUUUACUCUUUUUCGAAAUCUUUUAGAUUACUUUUUCUA